rnacentral:rRNA from 1 species
UACGAAAGGGGCUAGCGUUGCUCGGAAUCACUGGGCGUAAAGGGUGCGUAGGCGGGUCUUUAAGUCAGGGGUGAAAUCCUGGAGCUCAACUCCAGAACUGCCUUUGAUACUGAGGAUCUUGAGUUCGGGAGAGGUGAGUGGAACUGCGAGUGUAGAGGUGAAAUUCGUAGAUAUUCGCAAGAACACCAGUGGCGAAGGCGGCUCACUAGCCCGAUACUGACGCUGAGGCACGAAAGCGUGGGGAGCAAACAGG